CAGUCGCCGCGGGAAUACGGAGGGCGCGAGCGUUACCCGGAUUUACUGGGCGUAAAGGGCGUGUAGGCGGCCUGGGGCGUCCCAUGUGAAAGGCCACGGCUCAACCGUGGAGGAGCGUGGGAUACGCUCAGGCUAGAGGGUGGGAGAGGGUGGUGGAAUUCCCGGAGUAGCGGUGAAAUGCGCAGAUACCGGGAGGAACGCCGAUGGCGAAGGCAGCCACCUGGUCCACUUCUGACGCUGAGGCGCGAAAGCGUGUGGAGCAAACAGGAUUAGAUACCCGUGUAGUCCCUGUCUCUUAUAC
rnacentral:rRNA from 1 species